UCAGCCUGCGCUUCCGUGUUUACACACCCACAAAAAAAACGAAGCAGGACGCCAGCGGCCGUCAGCUGAAUGUUUACCGAGCAAGUAUAGAGGGCUGGAGCGGAAAGUGACGGCCACACUGGAGCCCUGGUGCAUGGUGAGACUCAGGUGAUUUCAGCUUCCACGGUCGCAACUCCCAGCGGAAUGUUCACUCGCAGGGGCCAUGGAGACGUCAAGAAAUCUACACAGAAAGUUCUGGACCCAAAGAAGGAUGUGCUGACCCGGCUCAAGCACCUACGCUCGCUGUUAGAUAUCAUCGACAAGAGUGAACUGAAGGCAUUCUUCGAGAGCAACUGUUCUCAGAUUUAUUUUAUCUUCUAUGAAAGUUUCAUUACACUGGAAAGCAACUUAAAACAAAAAGGGAACAAAUCUCAAAGGGAGGAGCUGGACUCUAUCCUCUUUAUUUUUGAAAAAAUUCUACAACUUCUGCCAGAGAAAGUCUACAACCGAUGGCAAUUUCACAGUAUAGGUUCUAUUCUGAAAAAGCUUCUACACACUGGAAAUUCAUUCAAGAUUCGAUGUGAGGGGAUCCGUCUGUUCCUGCUGUGGCUGCAGGCCCUGAGGGACAACUGUGCUGAGGAGCAGUUUCUUAUCUUUGCAUGUCUGGUGCCAGGGUUCCCUGCUGUGCCCUCCACCAGAGGGCCCUGCACCCUUGACACCAUCAUUUACAACCCCUUCUCCAAUCCCCCCGAUGCUAAAGUGGUGCCUGAGGAGAUCACCCCGCUCGUUCCAGCUUUGGCUGGGGAAAAAGUUGCAGAGGACCAGACCUGUUUCAUCCUCGAAACCCUGCUCAAGUACAUGGUCAUACAGGCUUCCAGUUUAGAAUGGAGGAACAAAGAGAACCAGAACACAGGCUUCAGGUUUCUCUUCAGCCUCUUCAAGAAGUACUACCUUCCACAUUUAUUUCCCUCCUUCACCAAGCUCACAAACCUCUACAAGCCUUUAUUAGACCUCCCGCACCACAGACCAAAACCCUUGUAUGUGCCAGUGACGCGGAACAAUGAGAGCACCUUCUGCACCAGGGACCAGUAUCUGGCGCCCCGUGUGGCCUUCAUCACCUGGCUGGUCACCUUCUUCCUGGAGAAGAAGUAUGUCAGCAGUGCUGCUGCAGCGCAGGGUGCAAAGAAUGGCACCGAGGUCAUACCCAAACUCAUCCAGACUGUCACUGCAGGCAGUAGCAGCCAGGAGAAGAAGGAGGAUAAGAUAUCGGACGGGGAUGCGAAUGGACCAGCGGGGGAGCCUGAGAAGAGCCACUCCAACAGCAGCACGCUGUCGGAUCGGCGGCCCAGUGAUUCCAGUUUGUGUAGCAUUGAGGAGGAGCACCGCUAUGUCUAUGACAUGGUGCACGCCAUCCUGCUGUCCACCCGGGACAACGUGAAUUUUGUCAACGAGGUCUUCCAUCAGGCUUUCCUGCUGCCGUCCUGCGAGGCGUCAGCUACCAGGAAGGUGAUCAAAGUGUACAGGACGUGGAUUCUGCAGGACAAGCCCGGCUUCAUGACCGAGCCGGAGAAAACAACACAGGAAGAUGAAGUGGAUGACAGCUCUGAGCAGAUUCUCAACACUGAGACAAACCACAUUCAUGUACAGACGGAGGUUCAUGGUCACAGACGGUCAUCGAGCUGGGGGAGGACGUACUCCUUCAGCAGCGCCAUCAAUCGGGGCUUCCUCACUGAGCAGCAGAACAGGGACAUCAAGGCUGGCAUCCAGCCUACACUACAGGUGUUCCUGACCAACUCGUCCAACGUGUUCCUGUUGGAGCCGUGCCAGGAUGUACCCAAACUCUUGGAAAACCAGGUUGAGGUGUGCAAGGGGGUUCUUAGCAUCUAUCGUCACAUGAUCAUGGAGCACACGAUGAACACACAGACAUGGGAGCAGAUGUUGCAGGUACUACUGAGGAUCACUGAGGCGGUGAUGAAGAGGCCACAGGAAAACCAAAGAAAAGAUAGUUUUGCUGAAAGUUUAGCAUCGAUACUCUUUAGGACCAUCAUCGUGGCGUGGGUGCGAGCCAACCUGUGCGUAUUUAUCUCCCGGGAGCUAUGGGACGAGCUGCUGGCAGUGCUGUCCUCUCUUACCUGCUGGGAGGAGCUGGUGACAGAGUGGGCCAGCAUCAUGGACUCGCUGACGGCUGUGCUGGCACGCACCGUCUACGGCCUGGACAUGGGCAGCCUGCCUCUGGACAAACUCAGUGAACAGAAGGAGAAAAAGCAGAGAGGACGUGGAGUGAUCCAUGACUCCCAGAAGGGCGCAGUAGUGGCACGCUCCUUUUCACUGAGCUGGAGAAACCAGGGGGAGCAGGGCGGGCCUGCGGUUCAAGAGCCCAUGAGGAUUCGCUCUGCCACUACGUCAGGAGCUCCUGGCGUGGAGAAUGCCCGAAACAACGUCCGUCAGAAAGCCUCUGAUGUGGAGGAAUGUCAGCUGUCCGAAUGUGGGGGAGAGGAGGAGCUGGGAGGCAGGGAAAGCCCUCUGCCACGUAGCAGCAGCACCUCCGACAUCACCCAGCAGCUGUCGGAAACUCUACCAGCCCAGAAGAGAGAGUACUCCCCGACUUCCUGUGGCUCAGAUAGCAUGACGUCUGAGGGCAGGAAAGAAAGCAGUGAGCCACCAAUGAUCCUCAUCCGACAGAGCAGCAGUACGGCUGAGACAGAGUGCAAUGCUGAGGGCCAGACUAACUACACAUUGCCCAAACUCAGAGAGAAAAGUGAGAGUAUAAGCAGCGAGACGUCCAACGGCUACCUCAAUGAAGCCGAGGUUACCUGGCAGGCCUUUGACGAAGAGGCUGACACUCAGUCCACACAGUCCACCCACAUGGAUGUGACGACUGACCCCCAGAGCCAGGGGAGCCUGCUGCUCAGCCACAAUGAGGCUCUAGCAGGUCCUGAGUGUGCCCUCCCUUCCCACUCCGCACCCCCGUCCUACCACCACCACAACCACUACCACUACCCUCAGAACCCCCCCGCCUCUCCAGCCCUGCUGGUGCACACAGAGUGCCCUCGGGACUGCCCUCUGGAAGACACCAUGCAUCAGUCUGUCUUACACAUGCCACACCACUUGGACAGCAGUGAGUGUCUGGCUGAUGACGUCAGCAUCAUCGCUGGUGGGACCCUGACUGGCUGGCAUGCUGAUUCAGCCUUCGUCCUUUGGAGGAGGAUAUUGGGCAUCCUGGGAGAUGUCAACAGUAUCCGCUGCCCAAAAAUCCACGCCAAGGUCUUCUCAUAUCUCUAUGAGCUCUGGCACAAGCUGGCCAAGAUCCGGGACAACCUUGGCAUCAGUGUGGACAACCAGUCUUCUCCACCCCAACCUGCCUUCAUCCCUCCUCUGCGAAUGCUUGCCUCAUGGCUCUUCAGGGCCACCAUGCUACCUGCAGAAUACAAGGCAGGUAAGCUGCAGGCCUACAAGCUGAUCUGUGAGAUGAUGACCAGACACCAGGAUGUGCUCCCCAACAGUGAUUUCUUGGUGCACCUCUACUACAUCAUACACAAGGGCUUCUCCAGCGACGACCAGGAUGUUUUGAACACCAUCAUCUGCUCCUGCUCCCCUCGAUUCUUUUACCUCGGCCUACCGGGCUUCACCAUGCUAAUUGGAGAUUUCAUCACUGCUGCCGCCUGCGUUCUCAGCUCCGUUUCCCCAGAGGCUCCAAGGAUGGAGGCUCAAACAGUCCUGGGCUCUCUGGUGUGUUUCCCCAACCUGUACCUGCAGAUUCCUGUGCUGCAACAUGUGCCUGGCUCUGAAGAAAUCCUUGUAGGCAAUGAGGAUAUCAAGGAUUACCUGGUCAACAUCCUGCUGGAAACAGCAACAAAGGAACACUGUGAAGGGGCCAGGUGCAUCGCUGUGUGCAGUCUGGGCCUGUGGGUUUGUGAAGAGCUGAUGCAAAAGAACAUCCACCAGCAAGUUAAAGACGCCAUCAACGUCUUGGCAGUAACACUAAAGUUUGGGAACAAGGCCGUGGCUCAGGUAGCUUGCGACGUGUUUCACCUGCUCAUUUCUCACUGGGAACAACUCAAGAGGUUUGAGUCCAAUCUGCCGAAGAAAAUCAUUGAGAUCUUUGUGGCCACAAUAGCCUUUUUGUUGCCGAGCGCGGAGCACUCAACAGUGGAAGCAGACAAAAAGUUGAUGGUUUCGCUGCUGCUUUGCCUGUUGGACUGGUGCAUGGCUGUGCCCUUGAGUCUCCUGCUGGAGCCCAUCACCAUGCCUUCAGUGGAUGAACGCACUUCCCACAAGGCCCCACUGCUGGACUACAUCUACAGGGUGCUGCACUGCUGCGUGUCCGGCUCCACCCUGCACACCCAACAGAGCCACUACCUCCUCAGCCUGUCGGACUUGUCCAAUGACUAUGACCUCAUGUUGGGUCAGGUUAAGAGCUUUGAGCCACCGCCCUCCCAAUCAACCACUACUGAUUUUGGCAACCUGCUCACAGUAGCUGAAGAAAAGCGACGUCGGCACAUGGAGCUGAUACCUCUGACAGCACGCAUGGUCAUGACCCACCUAGUGAACCACCUGGGCCAUCAUCCACUCAGCGGUGGCCCCGCCCUCCUCCACAGCCUAGUGAGCGAAAAUCACGACAACCCAUUUGUGGAGUCAUCGGAGCUGUCCUCCGAGGUCUUCAAAAGCCCAAACCUGCAGCUGUUUGUCUUCAACGACAGCACGCUGGUGUCCUACCUUCAGAUCCCCACUGAGACGCCCACCGUUGGCCAGCCCCCCAACACCUCUUCCCAAGUGCGAGUCAUCGUGCGGGACAUCUCGGGCAAAUACUCCUGGGAUGGCGCAAUCCUCUACUGCACCACCCCAGAAGACUCCGUGGACAUGGGAGUUUUUUCUGCUGUAGACCGCCCGCUUUCUACAACCACUAUUGCUCACAGCAGAAACCAGCCCCAGUCUCCGACAAAGGGGCCGCACAAGAAAAAAUUCUCAGUCUCUGACUCCCUCUCCGACUGUUGUGAGGAGGAAGAGGUAGAUGUUCUGGAUAAGCUGAUGGAGGACCUCGGCCACAGCAGCUCAGAAUGCCUGACUCAGCCGCAACUCCAACUCAAUCAGCCAGCCUCAUCGCCCCAUGGCAUGAACAUAGAGCAAGAGAGCGCCAUCCGGGAGGCCAUCCUCCGUCAGACCCAGGAGGAGGAGGAGCAAGUAAGGAGAUGGGACGCUGAUGUAAGCUGUCGGGCUGCCUGCCAGGGGGAACCCUCCUAUCAGGACCCAAAAGCUCCUUUCUACUUCUGCCGGCUGCUGCUCAAUGACCUUGGCAUGAACUCUUGGGACCGCAGGAAAAGUUUCCACUUGCUGAAGAAGAAUUCAAAGCUCUUAAGAGAACUGAAGAACUUGGAUUCCAGGCAGUGUCGAGAAACGCACAAGAUUGCUGUGUUCUACAUUGGAGAGGGACAAGAAGACAAGUGCUCAAUCUUGUCCAACAGCGCAGGCAGCCAGGCCUAUGAAGACUUCGUGUCCGGACUGGGAUGGGAGGUGGACCUAGCCACACACUGUGGCUUUAUGGGUGGCCUCCAAAGGAACGGCAGCACAGGUCUAACAGCUCCUUACUAUGCUACCUCCACUGUGGAAGCCAUCUUCCACGUCUCCACGCGAAUGCCAUCUGAUUCUGAUGACAGCCUCACCAAAAAGCUGCGUCACCUGGGAAACGACGAGGUACACAUCGUGUGGUCAGAGCACACUAGGGACUACCGACGUGGCAUCAUCCCGACUGACUUUGGAGACGUGCUGCUCAUCAUCUACCCGAUGAAGAACCACAUGUACUUCAUCCAGAUCAUGAAGAAGCCACAGGUUCCUUUCUUUGGGCCUCUGUUUAAUGGCGCCAUAAUCACUGGGACACUGCUGCCAAGCUUGGUGCGGGCCACCUGUAUCAACGCCAGCAGAGCUGUCAAGUCCCGUCUGACUCUUUACCAGAGCUUCUAUGAGGAGCGGGCACUCUACUUGGAGGCCAUUGUUCAGAACCACAGAGAGGUCAUGACCUUUGAAGACUUUGCCUCGCAGGUCUUCUCCCCCUCUCCUGGCUACCCAAUGAGUGGGACAGGUGAGAAAUGAACCAACCACAUCUCUCUCGUCCUUUAUGUUCUUUGCACUCCAUCUUUUUCUGUCCCUACAUCUCACUACUUCUUCAUCAUGUCUCCGUCGUGUCCUCUCAUGGCUUUUUCACCCCUUCUUCCUCAUCUCUUUUCUUUCCUCUUUAUUCAUAUUAAUCUGUCCUCCUCCUCCACAUCACACCUGUUUUUUCCCUCGCAUCCCCCUUCACCCUGCUCAUCCUGUCUCCUCUUCUUCCACGCCUACGCUCACUGAUGAAUAUCAAACGGCGGGCCCCGGCUCUCCACGCCAUCCAACUGACUUCAAACACUCCCGCUUUCUCCACUUCCUCCAGCCCCACUCUACGCUACUUUGUUCAUCUCUUCUUGUGUGUGCACCUUUUCUGUGCAGUUACUGUCCUAUGAAUAUAAGCAGCCAUGUUAAAUGACAAUUGCAAUGUGUGCGUGCAUGUGCGCGUGUGAAAGAUAGCUCAUUCGCCAACACUUCAGAGAUCCGGCCGACAAACAGCAGCUCGCGGAUGUCAGCACAGCACUCUUAUCAGUCCAUGAUGAAUAGAAUAGCAAACGUGUCUUAUCUUGUUCUUCCUACUUGUAGCAGCUCUGAUCGAUCUGCUGCGCCACUGAAAUCAAUACAGAAUAGCACUUUCCCACUCUAUUGGAUCCCCACACACGUUCUGUUUUGACAAGGAAAGCACUCAACAAUACCACACCAUAGUGUCUCGUCAUUGUCAGACCUGUCAGUGCUUGUAUGUUUUAUAGAGAUCUUUAAGUUUAUGCAACGUUUUUAUCCUGUAAGCUGGUUUGUGUGUUUCCUAGAGUCCUAGUUAGUGUGUCUUUGUGUGUCUUUGUGUGUCUUUGUGUGUCUUUGUGUGUGUGUGUGUGUGUGUGUGUGUGUGUGUGUGUGUGUGUGUGUCUGUGUGUCUGUGUGUGUAGGACUUCAGAUUGUCAGAUGCCAGGUGCAAUAUUCAGGCAGCCAGGAGGUGGUCUGCCACAUUUCCAUACUCUCCUGCAGAGGUGUUAAAUGUUCCCACACUGACCUCUUGUUACCACCUCUCAUCUUGAAACCAGAAAAUGAAGGAGAAAAUAAAUACUGAUAACAAUGAAAAUAGAGGAAGAAAACGCUAAAAGGCCCAAAUAUUGUUCCGUCUAGUCAGUUGGCUGGUGUUAUGGACCAUUUUAACCUUUAGCUUCCUCUGUGGCUGGACAGGGAUAGUUUAGAGAGGUUAGCCAGGCUUGAAAAUAAUUUUUCACAGCAUGGGACACAUAUCGCUGUGGCUAAUGUGAGACGCCGUAACAUAAUGAAGUCUGUGAGGCUGUUGUGUCGCCCCUCACUGCUGCGGAAACUCGUUCUGAAUGGUAAUUUGUAUUUCUCCGGAAUCUGCGCAUGUAAAUAGAUUAAUAGAUUAAUAUGAGGGUGUGUGCAUGUGCGUGUCUGGCCAUUCAGAUUUUAUCCAGAGCUUGCUUGCCUCAUAGGAUUCUGUAGUGCAGUUACUGGUUUGUUGAGAGGGAACAUAAUCCACUGUGUUAAAAUGCAUUGUUAGGUUCAGCCAAAGCCAAUGUGAGAAUAUAUUUAGUAGGUAAAUCAUGCAAGGAACAAUUCCAGCCAGCUACUAGAAUAGCAUUCAUAAGAGUGAGAGCAUAAACCUCAGCCAAGUCCCAUUUAAUCAUUAAUUGAUUAAUCGAUAAUUUAUUUUGAGCAAUAGCAUUUAUAAAGAUGGACAUCGUCAAAGCUCCAAAAUGUGAAGCCCCCAGGUGUCGUGCUGCAAUAUAAUUCCCUUCCUCCUCCAUGUGUGCGGAUUGGACGUGGUCCAGAAUAAGAGUCAGUACACAUCAGACAAAUCUAUCGCAAAAGUUUGAUUUUAAUUUGUUUUUUGAUGCUAUGAAAAAGGGGGUGAAGCAUCGUGACUGACUGAUGAGACUGACUCACGACUAGUCAAGUGCCUCCCUAUACUGCAGCUCUGGCCUCUGCACAAAUGACGUCAUCAGGAAUAUUUGAGCUUAAUUUCUGGAGAGUAGGAGGAAGUUGAGAUUCAUCGUCUAUCUUUAUACAGUCUAUAGUUUUGAUAUAUCUUUGUACAUUUUUAAGUUGUGACCAAGAAUAAGCUUUUUUUUCCCCCAAAUCAUAAACAUGACAUAUCUAAUACUUUUUGCUACAGUUAUAUUGCAUCUGAAUACAUUUUUAUCAUUGUCUUUCAUACCUGAUCCUCUGUGUCCCAUACAGCUUCAUUGAGACAGUGAAGGCUGGCUGACACUGCUCCUCAUUCUCACCCUUCUCAAUUGUGCUUCUGCCCUUGAUGUUUUUGUCCUGUGUGAGUGUGUGUGUGUGUGUGACUGUGUGUACGGUCGUAUGCAAGUUCACCCAUCCACCCUGCUCUGGCUCCCAUUGCUGCCACUAACAUGUCAUCCAUGCUCCAUGACAGCGUGCAGGCGUUGGCCGGGGAUGGUUUGGGACAUGGAGUACCCCUGGGCCAAACUGGACUGUAAGACUCUGCCUGCUUCCUCCACUCUAUAGGCAUGCCGCCCAGCCACAGCCCAUCAACAUUUAUUCAUUAAUUUAGGUCCCUGUGAAUAACUCUGGGUUUGCACUUCAUUUACCUGCUUUGUGAAAGCAAAGCUGGUCUCAGUUAUUAGUUCAGAUCCUGAAUGCAUGUUUUCUCCACAAAGAUUUAACCUCUGCCCCUUCCUGUCAGUCAACAAUACCUCAUCAGUGUCCUCCACAGCUUCAUCCUCCAUGAUCCCUGAAUGCAACCUCGGGCUACAUCCUUACUACUUAGUGUUAGCUGGAAAACACGCCUGACGGCCACACUACUCUGACGUUUGUGAGCUGCAUUUAAGUCUGGACGUGCAGAAACGGAGACAUUUGGAAACAUUGACGUAGACACUCACGAGCGCUUGUUGAUUGGGUCUUUUUGGUCAUAACUUAGCCUUCACUGAUUCGUCAGGCUUUUAUCACAUGACCCCCUUCUGGACAAAACAACUGGCAUUAGCUAUAGCUACAGGUGAAACAACAUGCAUAAACAAAUACAAGCUGUUGUCUUUGCUUACAGUUAAACUCUGCAUUUUACUAUGAUUCAACCGCUCCCAUGUGGAGGAGACAAGCUUUUAUUCGAGCGAUGUCUGUAUACACUGGGCCACACGUUGUUAGUAUAGACACGAUUAAAACUGAUCCGGAGCAAUAGCGCUCGUGUGGACAGAGAGUGUUUGAGUUUGAAAUGUUUGGAUGUAGCCUCAGUCUUCCACAGCUUCUUGCAUGAAGUAGUCCUUCGUGUCACAUGAACCCAAAGUCUCCAUCCUCAGUGUCCUGCCGUGACUGUCACAGCUUUAAGUGUUUGUUAUUUUGCGUCCAUUCUCUCAAAAAUAACUGCACAUGAGAAAAGUGAUGCUUCUGUCUGUGGGAUAAAACAACACAAACGUUGUCAUGACCCCAGCAUCGUGUACUCUCUCCCUAACCCUCUCUACUUGUUAACACUUCUGGUAGAUGUUCCUCUGACUGUUGUUGCCAUGUGAUCUGCCCACCAUCUGUGCUCUGGGUUUCAUUUGAGUUGAAAUCUGUGAACUGGGCAGCUUCCUCAGGUACCACCAGACACGGUGUCCUUCCAGGUGUCUCCAGAAACACCUAGUGAUCAACUCCUUACAUCAAAUCAUCUUUUAUUUAACCCUCCAGUGAGAAACUAACCACGACGCCACACACGCUGCCAGAACGGGUCCCUCCACUCUGGACUUCUCCGCGGCGUUGUGUUGUGUUUAGCUGCCGUGUGGUUUUGGUGUUUGUCCACUGCUCUCUCACAUGUUGCUCUACUCUGUUCUUCCCUUUUAGAUUAAAAAUAUCUUAAAGGUCCAAAUGUAAAUGGCGAAGGUUCCUUCACCGGCAGCACGAGCACUGAGGCCAGUGCUCAAGCAGCAGCAGCAGCAGCGGUGACGGACUCUGUCGACCAGGUCUCUCCUCCCAUGCCCCGUGCCACAAAGAACCGGGUCUCUGGAAAGCUCCG